CGCCUUCAAAGAUUUGCGUCGUCUGCUUCGAAAUGUGUCUCCCACAUGGGCGUCGAGGACCGAAACUCAACGGAAUCCCCACGGUGAACAAUAUUGGAAAGAGUAUCAUCAAAAUACGAAUGACGCAGUUGCCUAGUUACGAAGUUAAAUGGCAUCAUUCACACGUGGCGAUAACAUGAAAUUGGAUUAUCAAUUGAUCAGCGACAUGGCAUAUAUCACUGUAUCCAGGUACAGAAAAGGCUUUGCGAGGCGUUAUGAAGAGGUAUGACGUAAUGGCAAUGUAAUACAAGCUGAUGGGACAGUGUGAUAUAGCAUGGCAUGAUUGAACGUGUAAGUGUUA